ACUUGGAGGCAACAACCAGAAUGAAAUAUUAUUUAAUCGUGGAAAUGCCAUGUCAGGCGCAGCUAUCAGAAUCGGAACACACCAAUUACCAAAUCCACCUAUCAUCGCCGGCAUAACUAUAAAAAAUAUCAUUAAAAAGCGUGAUCCGUUAUUAAAACAUUAUAAAGUUGAUUAUUCCCAGUUUCCCACCAAGAAUUUGAUCGUCGGGUCGUGCUAAUUCCAUACGAAUCAGUACUGAGAAGCAUGUGCCCAUCACUCCAGCAAUGGCACCGAAGAUGAAAUAAAGAGUCCCUAUAUCCUUGUGGUUAGUGGAGAACAGCCAUCGGACCGGAUUUGUCGUAAAAUUGAGAUUAUUUCGUUUCCUUCCUUAUCAGAGAGGGGCCCGCGGGGCUUAUUUAUUGAAAAAGGGGGAGUGAGGGGGGGGGAAGGAAGAAUGGAAAGCCCUCACUUUAUUGAUGGGACAUUUUGAUCCCCUUUUCCUCUCAUCCUCCCCUAC
rnacentral:lncRNA from 1 species